rnacentral:rRNA from 1 species
UGAGGAAUAUUGGUCAAUGGGCGAGAGCCUGAACCAGCCAAGUAGCGUGCAGGAUGACGGCCCUAUGGGUUGUAAACUGCUUUUAUAUGGGAAUAAAGUGAGGGACGUGUCCCUUAUUGCAUGUACCAUACGAAUAAGGACCGGCUAAUUCCGUGCCAGCAGCCGCGGUAAUACGGAAGGUCCAGGCGUUAUCCGGAUUUAUUGGGUUUAAAGGGAGCGUAGGCUGUUUGUUAAGCGUGUUGUGAAAUGUAGGAGCUCAACUUUUAGAUUGCAGCGCGAACUGGCAGACUUGAGUGCGCACAACGCAGGCGGAAUUCAUGGUGUAGCGGUGAAAUGCUUAGAUAUCAUGACGAACUCCGAUUGCGAAGGCAGCUUACGGGAGCGCAACUGACGCUAAAGCUCGAAGGUGCGGGUAUCGAACAGG